rnacentral:rRNA from 1 species
CCUACGGGAGGCAGCAGUGAGGAAUAUUGGUCAAUGGGCUUACGCCUGAACCAGCCAAGUCGCGUGAGGGAAGACUGCCCUAUGGGUUGUAAACCUCUUUUGUCAGGGAGUAACGCCGGCUACGUGUAGCCGGACUGAGAGUACCUGAAGAAAAAGCAUCGGCUAACUCCGUCCCAGCAGCCGCGGUAAUACGGAGGAUGCGAGCGUUAUACGGAUUUAUUGGGUUUAAAGGGUGCGUAGGCGGAAUGCAAAGUCAGCGAUAAAAUCGCGGGGCUCAACCUCGCUCCGCCGUUGAAACUGGCGUGCGUGAGUGGGCGAGAGGUAUGCGGAAUGCGUGGUGUAGCGGUGAAAUGCAUAGAUAUCACGCAGAACUCCGAUUGCGAAGGCAGCAUACCGGCGCCCAACUGACGCUGAAGCACGAAAGCGUGGGUAUCGAACAGGAUUAGAUACCCGAGUAGUC